GACGAGCGCUGGCGGCGUGCCUAAUACAUGCAAGUUGAGCGCUGAAGGUUGGUACUUGUACCAACUGGAUGAGCAGCGAACGGGUGAGUAACGCGUGGGGAAUCUGCCUUUGAGCGGGGGACAACAUUUGGAAACGAAUGCUAAUACCGCAUAAAAACUUUAAACACAAGUUUUAAGUUUGAAAGAUGCAAUUGCAUCACUCAAAGAUGAUCCCGCGUUGUAUUAGCUAGUUGGUGAGGUAAAGGCUCACCAAGGCGAUGAUACAUAGCCGACCUGAGAGGGUGAUCGGCCACAUUGGGACUGAGACACGGCCCAAACUCCUACGGGAGGCAGCAGUAGGGAAUCUUCGGCAAUGGACGAAAGUCUGACCGAGCAACGCCGCGCGAGUGAAGAAGGGUUUCGGAUCGUAAAACUCUGUUGGUAGAGAAGAACGUUGGUGAGAGUGGAAAGCUCAUCAAGUGACGGUAACUACCCAGAAAGGGACGGCUAACUACGUG
rnacentral:rRNA from 1 species